rnacentral:rRNA from 1 species
UACGGAGGGUGCAAGCGUUGUCCGGAAUCACUGGGCGUAAAGCGCACGUAGGCGGAUCUUUAAGUCAGGGGUGAAAUCCCAAGGCUCAACCUUGGAACUGCCUUUGAUACUGGGGAUCUCGAGUCCGGAAGAGGUUGGUGGAACCCCGAGUGUAGAGGUGAAAUUCGUAGAUAUUCGGAAGAACACCAGUGGCGAAGGCGGCUCACUGGACUGGUAUUGACGCUGAGGUGCGAAAGCGUGGGGAGCAAACAGG